rnacentral:lncRNA from 1 species
UUUUUUCUAGUUUAAAAAGCAUGUAAUGAAUCCUUAGUUUUCAUGGCAUGAAUUGUUAUCAAGGCUAGGUAUUUUCCCAUUCUUGACUGAUUUACUAUUUAAAUUCUGUAUUUUGACCUCCUGUAAAACACUUUAACCAGAACGUUAUGAGACUGGGUCAACCUAAGGCAAUGCUAAAGCCUUUUAAAGACCAAGCAGCAGGCUGGUACUUAACUGAAUCCAUAACCUUUCUUCUUCCUUUCGAGAAAUUGCAAUUAAGACUUGGACCGUUAGGUUAAAUAAUCUUUACAUUGUUGUUUGGCACAAAUUUGCUAUAAUGCUUUAAAACUUUUGAAAAACUUGUAUUUUGGCAUUUUUCUAUUCUUAUGACUUAUUUUUCUUUUGAUUUCAGAGAACACUUUUUACAGUUGGCUAGAAGGUCUCUGUGUAGAAAAAAGAGCAUUCUACAGACUUAUAUCUGGCCUACAUGCAAGCAUUAAUGUGCAUUUGAGUGCAAGAUAUCUUUUACAAGAGACCUGGUUAGAAAAGAAAUGGGGACACAACAUUACAGAAUUUCAACAGCGAUUUGAUGGAAUUUUGACUGAAGGAGAAGGUCCAAGAAGGCUUAAGAACUUGUAUUUUCUCUACUUAAUAGAACUAAGGGCUUUAUCCAAAGUGUUACCAUUCUUCGAGCGCCCAGAUUUUCAACUCUUUACUGGAAAUAAAAUUCAGGAUGAGGAAAACAAAAUGUUACUUCUGGAAAUACUUCAUGAAAUCAAGUCAUUUCCUUUGCAUUUUGAUGAGAAUUCAUUUUUUGCUGGGGAUAAAAAAGAAGCACACAAACUAAAGGAGGACUUUCGACUGCAUUUUAGAAAUAUUUCAAGAAUUAUGGAUUGUGUUGGUUGUUUUAAAUGUCGUCUGUGGGGAAAGCUUCAGACUCAGGGUUUGGGCACUGCUCUGAAGAUCUUAUUU